rnacentral:rRNA from 1 species
UACGUAGGCAGCAAGCGUUGUUCGGAGUUACUGGGCGUAAAGGGUGUGUAGGCGGUUAUUUAAGUUUGGUGUGAAAUCUCCCGGCUCAACCGGGGAGGGUGCGCCGAAUACUGAAUGACUUGGAGUGCGGGAGAGGAAAGUGGAAGUUCCUGGUGUAGCGGUGAAAUGCGUAGAUAUCAGGAGGAACACCGGUGGUGUAGACGGCUUUCUGGACCGUAACUGACGCUGAGACACGAAAGCGUGGGUAGCAAACAGG